AUCUGACAAUUAGUUUCGAAAGAAAACAACACUUUAAUUUUCAUGAACAGAUAUCUUGAUAACAGUUUCUGCGUAUAGCAAUUUAUGUAAACCGUUCAUUUUCAAAACCAUUGCGGAUAAUACACACGGUAACCUGACUGAUGAUGGAGUGUAAAUAUAUAUUACUAUUGGGUUUACUUGCGAGCUCCGUGGCUACUGAAACGAUCGAUUUGAACAUCAACGAUGAACCGGAACUGUUCACUGAUGGGAAUGAAAAUGAGGCCGGAGUAACCGAUAGUGAAACGAAUGUCGGAGGAAAUGACGGCAUUUCAUCUGAAAAUGGCAGAAACGGCCGACCAUUUUGUCGUUUAUGUAUCUGCAAUUUGAACAUAGACUAUUGUGAAAGCCCAAUGGAAGCAGCAAACGAAGAAAGAUGUCUCUCCGCAGGGCCAGUUUGUUGCUGCUGUAAACCAGGAAGACACCCGUGCAUUAACUUUUCACAGGCAGGAUUUCAGCCUGCUGAUCCCGACACAUUGGAGGAUUUAGACGUCACCAUGACACAAAUAAGACAGAUUGAGUAAUAAAAAUGUACUUGGAUUUAGAUGUCUAGUACAUAAACAGGAAAGUUUGAAUCACAUGAGGUCAAAAAUAUCGUGUGGGAUAACAUUAGAAUGUGAUUGCUCGUAAUGGUUAGUAAAAUGACAACCUAAACUGUAAACUUUUUUUAAGUUGAUCAUUGUUCUAUGCUGUGUAAAAUAUCACACAUUUAUGUUCAUGAAUGGAGAACGUUGUACUUAUCACCACAUAAAUACUUUUAGACAAUGGUUCAUACUUAGUAUGUGAAUGGCCAUUAUGAUUAUGUAAAUAAUAUAUUCUGAUAGAAUGCCAUGCAAAACGAUUGACCGCCAGUAAGGAAUAUGUUGCAAAAGUUUGAAAGACGCUUUAUUAAUAAACAUUUUAAUGAACUAUUGGUUGUAAAGUAGUCCCACUUGUACUUCUAACACAUGGAAGCAUAGCUUAGCAAAUACUUGAAGAUUUUGAAUAAAUGAGCUUGGAGCAUUGGAAGAUUUUGAUUUGUACAAAGCAACAGUUGUAACUAUUUAUCCAAUGACUGUAAAUCUAUCGUCUUCAAAACAAUGUCCUUUGCUGUACAGUUCACAAAACACUGGGAGGAUUUGAAAGAAACUUGGAGCGUUGGUAAGCGUUGGUAGAUGACAAAUAAUAUUUAUGUACACGGCAAAACUUGUAGCCUUUAAAUCAUGACUGAAGAGUUAUCGCCACUAUUCUAAUAUCAUUUAAACGAUAUCCUUGGCAAGGGUCACAAAAAAUUGGAAGGAUUUGAAUGAAACUUGGAGCAUUGGUUAAUGAAAUGGAAUGGCUGUGUUGAAUGCAUAAGGAAUACGUGUAAAAUCAUUUGCUAUUGAUAUAUCGCUUAUGGCAUAGGUCGUAAUUUAAUAAAAUUUUGAGCAUAGGUUGAUGACAAAUUAUAAUGGUUUACCAUUCAUGCAUCGAAGCUGUUGAACAGAGUUAACACAGAUUUAUCUCCGUUUUUAUUUUGUUCCACCAGAUGAACUUGGUCGUGGGCAUAUUAAGUGCUAAUUCUUGCACAGAAAAGUGUGGAGAAAUUUUAAUAGCAGACAUAUUGUUUAUGUAAUUUAUUAUCUUAUCUACGAUAAGAAUGUGCAAUGUUCACUGCAAUAUAUAGCAAUUAAUUAGGUAUUGUACAUCAUUAGACAAAAUCCGACAAUGACAUUUUGACAUGACGGUAAAGUAAGAAAGUACUGGUAGUUGGUAGUUGCGGAUUCCAAUAUUCAUUACCUAUACUAGUUGCCAGUUGGGGAUUAGUUUUAGGUUAAUGUUGAUAUUAGGCUACUCGACUAUUUCCAUUUGCUAUUUCCAGUCAGUUAUUCGCCGGUUAAAAAAGAAAAAUAUCUGAAUCCCUGACUACCAACUGAUUUGUAGUUGAAUGUUCGCGAAUAUCCGAAUGGCGUAUGUACGAACAAUAGUGAUUUAAACCAAUGUAUGUUACGAAGGUAUAUAUGUGUACAUGAAUAAUCGUACAUUUGGCUUGUGUUUUUGUACAUGUGUACAUUUCAACCAUAAAACAAGACAAUAUCUGAAUCCACAACUCUUAAUGGCGAACAGUCAUGUAUCAAAUAAUGACGGGGCUAAAAGUAUUGUCAAAACAGGUCGCCCCUUUUUAAAGCUGCACUCUCACAUAUUGAACGUUUUGACAACUUUUUUUAUUUUUGUCAUGGAACGAGCAUUUUUUUGCGAAAAUGCACGGGAACCAGUUAUAUAUAAGACUGCUGACAAAAAACUUAGAUCGCAGGUUUUUAUAUUUGAGAUCAAAUGUUGAUGUGUUAUGCAUUUUUCUUAAACCGUUAGCAACGGUUUAAGCCAUAACAUAUUAAUUUUCAAACAGAAAUAUGUAAAUCUGCGAACGGAUCUUUUGUCAGCAAUAUUUUAUUAUUGGUUUGCAGAUAUUGACCCAAAAUUUUGCUCUUUCCAAGGCAAAAAUAAAUAAAUAAUAAAAACGGUAUAUCUGUGAGAGUGCAGCUUUAAUAAAAACGAUAACUUUUUAUGGAUUUUCAUCGAUUCCAAAGUAAAUGGAGGAGGCCACACAGAUAUCAACUUUUAAAACUUUCAAUACUUUUCGAUUUGAGGAACACAAACCUUUGCCGUGGUAAAAAUCUGAUACAAAUUGCUACUUUUUGGUGUAUAAAGGAAAUGAGCAGAUUUUUUCAAAUGAAUAUUGUACAUUCUUGAAAUUCCGUUGGCACAUUAAUUUCUAAACAGAUAAAGCUUUCGACAAUAUAAAUAUGUUGUUCUUUUCAAUCAAAAUUCUUCAGAGUAUCGAAUCAAUAUUUUGUUUUGGGUGAUAUCUUUAUAUAACAUAUGAUUUUAUAGAGAACAACUUCAUUGUUGCAAAAGAAUCAAAUAUUUCUCUUAAAAUAGAAGAAUUCACCACAAAGUCACAAGAAACAACUGUUUCCAUAUUGUCACUUAUGAUGUCAAAUAAAAUUAGAUUCAUUCUUUUACCACUUCUAGGUUUGAAUGCAAAUGCUUUCCUAGCUAAAUUAUGUUAAUAUGUUUUUUCGUAAGCUUUGCUUGGAUCUAAAACACACCUAAACAUGUAUGAAGGGACACCUUUAUUAUGCUUACCAGAGAUGGACCAAAUAAAGUAAUAAAACUUAAAAUUGAAAA